AUUGCACGCUGGCGGCAGGCCUAACACAUGCAAGUCGAACGAGUGGCGGACGGGUGCGUAAUGUCUGGGAAAAUGCCUGAUGGAGGGGGAUAACUACUGGCAACGGUAGCUAAUACCGCAUACCAUCGGAUGUGCCCAGAUGGGAUUCGCUAGUAGGUGGGGUAAAGGCUCACCUAGGCGACGAUCCCUAGCUGGUCUGAGAGGAUGACGAGCCACACUGGAACUGAGACACGGUCCAGACUCCUACGGGAGGCAGAAGUGGGGAAGAUUGCACAAUGGGCGGAAGCCUGAUGCAGCCAUGCCGGGUGUAUGAAGAAGGCCUUCGGGGUGUAAAGUACUUUCAGCGGGGAGGCGUUACCCGCAGAAGAAGCACCGGCUAACUCCGGGCCAGCAGACGCGGUAAUUC
rnacentral:rRNA from 1 species